ACAUGCAAGUCGAACGCCAGCGCUGGGAGCAAUCCUGGGCGGCGAGUGGCGAACGGGUGAGUAAUACAUCGGAACGUGUCCUGUAGUGGGGGAUAGCCCGGCGAAAGCCGGAUUAAUACCGCAUACGAUCUACGGAUGAAAGCGGGGGAUCGCAAGACCUCGCGCUAUAGGGGCGGCCGAUGGCGGAUUAGCUAGUUGGUGGGGUAAAGGCCCACCAAGGCGACGAUCCGUAGCUGGUCUGAGAGGACGACCAGCCACACUGGGACUGAGACACGGCCCAGACUCCUACGGGAGGCAGCAGUGGGGAAUUUUGGACAAUGGGCGCAAGCCUGAUCCAGCAAUGCCGCGUGUGUGAAGAAGGCCUUCGGGUUGUAAAGCACUUUUGUCCGGAAAGAAAUCCUCUGGGUUAAUACCCCGGGGGGAUGACGGUACCGGAAGAAUAAGCACCGGCUAACUACGUGCCAGCAGCCGCGGUAAUACGUAGGGUGCGAGCGUUAAUCGGAAUUACUGGGCGUAAAGCGUGCGCAGGCGGUGAUGUAAGACCGAUGUGAAAUCCCCGGGCUUAACCUGGGAACUGCAUUGGUGACUGCAUCGCUGGAGUAUGGCAGAGGGGGGUAGAAUUCCACGUGUAGCAGUGAAAUGCGUAGAGAUGUGGAGGAAUACCGAUGGCGAAGGCAGCCCCCUGGGGCCAUACUGACGCUCAUGCACGAAAGCGUGGGGAGCAAACAGGAUU
rnacentral:rRNA from 1 species